AGCAAUCUACACACAUACACUCACACACCCCGUCCCUUUCCCUCCUCGCAGAAGCCGAGGAGAUGCCAUGUGAGGGUGCAGCGAGGAGUUGGGCUGUCUAAAAGCAAAGAAAGAGAUUGCAUCAGACACCGCAUCUGCUGACACCUUGUUCUUGGACUUCCAGCUUCCAAAACCGCGAGAAAUAAAUGUCUGUGUCUAAACCCCAACCCUACCACCUCAACUGCCGUGUGUGGUGUUUUGUGAUGGCAGCCCCAGCUGACUGAGACACCUGGUUAGACCGGAAUAAGCAGUACCUGAGUCCCUUAAGAGUGGCCAAAGAAGAAAGAAUCCACUGAGUUGACAUUCCAGUUCAGCUGCAAUCGGUAGCAGUCACCAUUGAACAUCCUUGAAGCAAUUCUUCCAAAAUUACCUUGCAUCAAAGACUGCACAAGAACUGCUCUAAGCGGAAGGACUGAUGUCGGCAACCAGGGUUCCACCAGGGGCUGCAGACAGCCCUUGACCUUCAGGUGGGAAGGUGUCACUGAGUUCAGACCCUCUGGCAAUCCCUAGCUAUCAACAUUUUGAUAAGAAAAUAAGUGGAAAGGUAGAACUGGAAGAUUUUGCUGAAAGAUUGGACAUGGCAUUCAGAGAAACAGAGGUUUUAAUGACAAACUCCAAGUUUUUGGCUGGAGCAACUGGAAGAAUGAGGUUGCCAUGAACCGAAAAGAGAGAUUGCAGAAGUAACCAAAUUUACUCACGUAGGCCAGGAAUUUCUAUGACGUGUUCCAAAUUCAGCCUCUCACUGAACACUUCCAGAGCAAGGCAACAUAAACAGUGAUGGUAUGAGGAGGUGGAACUUUUGGAAGGUGAUUGGCUGAAUGGCAUUGGUGCCCUUAUAAUGGAGGCCCAGACUGGGCGCGGUGGCUCACACCUGUAAUCCCAGAACUUUGGGAG
rnacentral:lncRNA from 1 species